AGAGCGAACGCUGGCGGCAGGCCUAACACAUGCAAGUCGAGCGCCCGUAGCAAUACGGGAGCGGCAGACGGGAUAGUAACACGUGGGAACGCGCCCUUCGGUUCGGAAUAACUCAGGGAAACUUGAGCUAAUACCGAAUACGCCCUUACGGGGAAAGAUUUAUUGCCGAAGGAACGGCCCGCGUCCGAUUAGCUAGUUGGUGAGGUAAUGGCUCACCAAGGCUACGAUCGGUAGCUGGUCUGAGAGGAUGACCAGCAUCACUGGGACUGAGACACGGCCCAGACUCCUACGGGAGGCAGCAGUGGGGAAUAUUGGACAAUGGGCGCAAGCCUGAUCCAGCCAUGCCGCGUGGAUGAUGAAGGCCUUAGGGUUGUAAAGUCCUUUUAACGGGGAAGUAUAAUGACGGUACCCGUAGAAUAAGCCCCGGCUAACUUCGUGCCAGCAGCCGC
rnacentral:rRNA from 1 species